rnacentral:rRNA from 1 species
CUGAAUAACUCAGCUGAUCGCAUGGUCUCGCGCCGAUGACUGAUCUUCCAGGUGACGGCUUAAUCCUGUUUUGAGGGAAAUUGAUGCAACUACUUGGGUUGAUACGGGUAACGUACAAAAAGGGUUGGACUCCGGAAAAGGAACCUGAGAAACGGUUACCACAUCCAAGGAAGGCAGCAAGUUCUUGGAUUACCCAAUCUCGGAACGAGGAGGUAGUGACGAGCCAAUAAAUAGACGGUUCUCUAAGAGGCCCGUUAUCGGAAUGAGUACAAUUCAAACCUUUUAACGAGGAUCUACGAGAGGGCAAGUCUGGUGCCAGCAGCCGCGGUAAUUCCAGCUCUCGAAGUGUAUAUCAUUGUUGUUGCGGUUAAAAA